CGAUGGAUACUCGCGGUGCGCCUUUAUGGUGCGUCGCUUAGCGAAAGCGUUAAGUAUCCCACCUGGGGAGUACGCCGGCAACGGUGAAACUCAAAGGAAUUGACGGGGGCCCGCACGAGCGGAGGAACAUGUGGUUUAAUUCGAUGAUACGCGAGGAACCUUACCCGGGCUUGAAUUGCGACUGACUGCAUCAGAGAUGAUGUUUCCAGCAAUGGCAGUCGUGAAGGUGCUGCAUGGUUGUCGUCAGCUCGUGCCGUGAGGUGUCGGCUUAAGUGCCAUAACGAGCGCAACCCUUUUCCCUGUUUGCCAUCGGGUAAUGCCGGGCACUCCAGGGAUACUGCCAUCGUAAGAUGUGAGGAAGGUGGGGAUGACGUCAAAUCAGCACGGCCCUUACGUCCGGGGCUACACACGUGUUACAAUGGGCGGCACAGAGGGCAGCGACCGCGCGAGCGGCAGCCAAUCCCGAAAUUCGCUCUCAGUUCGGACUGGAGUCUGCAACCCGACUCCACGAAGCUGGAUUCGCUAGUAAUCGCGCAUCAGCCAUGGCGCGGUGAAUACGUUCCCGGGCCUUGUACACACCGCCCGUC
rnacentral:rRNA from 1 species